GAGGAGUUAGUUAAGAGUAUAAUUUGUGUUUGUCAUACACGGGUGGCUAGUGUGGUUGCUAGUAUUUCUCA
rnacentral:tRNA from 1 species